UGCUUCUAAAGGAUAACAGCUCAUCCAUUGGUCUUAGGAACCAAAAACUCUUGGUGCAAAUCCAAGUAGCAGC
rnacentral:tRNA from 1 species